GUGGCCCUCAUGACACUGACGCUCUUCCCGGUCCGGCUCCUGGUUGCCGCUGCCAUGAUGCUGCUGGCCUGGCCCCUCGCACUUGUCGCAUCCCUGGGCUCUGCGGAGAAGGAACCCGAGCAGCCCCCGGCCCUGUGGAGGAAGGUUGUGGACUUCCUGCUGAAGGCCAUCAUGCGCACCAUGUGGUUCGCCGGCGGCUUCCACCGGGUGGCCGUGAAGGGGCGGCAGGCGCUGCCCACCGAGGCGGCCAUCCUCACGCUCGCGCCUCACUCGUCCUACUUCGACGCCAUCCCUGUGACCAUGACGAUGUCCUCCAUCGUGAUGAAGGCAGAGAGCAGAGACAUCCCGAUCUGGGGAACUCUGAUCCAGUAUAUACGGCCUGUGUUCGUGUCCCGGUCAGACCAGGAUUCUCGCAGGAAAACAGUAGAAGAAAUCAAGAGACGGGCGCAGUCCAACGGAAAGUGGCCACAGAUAAUGAUUUUUCCAGAAGGAACUUGUACAAACAGGACCUGCCUAAUUACCUUCAAACCUGGUGCAUUCAUCCCUGGAGCGCCCGUCCAGCCUGUGGUUUUACGAUAUCCAAAUAAACUG
rnacentral:misc_RNA from 1 species